ACAGAUAAUUUAGAGAUGCCAAUCAGCCUACAGUGCAUGUCUUUGGACUGGGGGAGGAAACCAAAGUACCUGGAUGAAAUCCCCGAGUCACCUGGAGAACAUGCAAACUCUGCACACACAGGGUGGAGGUGGAAAAUGAAGCCCCAACCCUGGAGGUGUGAGGCAAAUGUGCUAACCACUAAGCCACCGUGCACCCAGUCCUGAAUUCAUUACAAAUAAUAAACUCUAACAAGCACAUCAAUAUACACUAAUCAGCUAUGACAUUAAAACCACCUGCCUAAUAGUGUGUAGGUCCGCCUUGUGCCGCCAAAACAGCUCUGACUCGUCGAGGCAUGGACUCCACAAGACCUCUGAAGGUGUGCUGUGGUAUCUGGCACCAAGACGUUAGCAGCAGAUCCUUUAAGUCCUGUAAGUUGCGAGGUGGGGUCUCCAUGGAUCGGACCUGUUUCUCCAACACAUCCCACAAUUGCUCGAUCGGAUUGAGAUCUGGGGAAUUUGGAGGCCAAGUUAACACCUUGAACUCUUUGUCAUGUUCCUCAAACCAUUCCUGAACAAUUUUUGCAGUGUGGCAGUGCGCAUUAUCCUGCUGAAAGAGGCCACUGCUAUUAGGGAAUACCGUUGCCAUGAAGGGGUGAACUUGGUCUGCAACAAUGUUUAGGUAGGUGGUGCGUGUCAAAGUAACAUCCACAUGAAUUCCAGGACCCAAGGUUUCCCAGCAGAACAUUGCCCAGAGCAUCACACUGCCUCGGCCAGAUUGCCUUCUUCCCAUAGCGCGUCCUGGUGCCAUCUCUUCCCCAGCUCCUCUGUGGGAUCGGACCAGACGAGAUAGCCUUCGCUCCCCACGUGCAUCAAUGAGCCUUGGGCGCCCAUGACCUUGUCGCCGGUUGAUCGGUUGUCCGUCUUUGGACCACUUUUGGUAGGUACUAACCACUGCAUACCGGGAACACCCCACAAGACCUGCCGUUUGGGAAAUGCUCUGACCCAGUCGUCUAGCCAUCACAAUUCGGCCCUUGUCAAAGUCGCUCAGAUCCUUACGCUUGCCCAUUUUUCCUGCUUCCAACACAUCAACUUC
ensembl:lncRNA